CAGCAGGCCGCCCCCGGACUCUCUCCCUGAAUACCUCCAGGAAGCCUCCUGCUCCCUCGUCACCCGCCUACAUCAGCAAGGAUGGGUGGUAAACAACAACAAAUCACAAGGGCCUGGGUUGUCUGUCAAAUAUUUGGGUGCUGUCUGGUCAGGAUGAUAUCUGCCAACCUCUUCACUGCCUGGGCACACACCUUUGCUGAUAUACAAAAUCGCUCCAACUGCUGGGUAUGCAGCGAGCUGCCUCUCUCUUCAACCACGGGGUUACCAUGGCGUCUCCAAGCUGCCAACGCCUCUGACUGGAGAGCCCUGCAAGAGUGAAGGAACGCCGCCCACUUUCCCAUUUCUGCUCCCCUCCUACCAAGUAGCCUGUCCUUGCCCUCUUAUGCUGCUUCUCGAAAGUAUAUCUUCCAGCUUAUGCGUGAGCAGGUUAAUACAACCCCAAAGGCAGGGUACUCUGUAUUUGAUGGCGUAGGAUGGUUAACUGCUGUACAAAUAGAAUUAAGAGGGUCCCUUCCCUGGUGUGUUGAAUGUCACAAUAGCUCUGCACCACCAAAUAAAAGUAUUUCAAGAAAUGUGGGGUGGACACCUAAAGCAACAUGUAACCAAACAAUUAUUAUUACUGCUGAUAUGUGGCUGGGAAAACAAGACAACACCAUCAGAGGAGCCUAUGCCUCUCCUCGGGGGUGGCUGUGGGCUUGUGGCACACACGGCUGGCCCUAUCUGCCUUAUAACUGGACUGGCAGAUGCACAUGGGGGCGCCCUUACAUCCCUGUACGCGUCCUGUCUUCCCUUCAACAGCGUCCUUCCAAUUGGGAGGCAGUCCGUGCGCACCAUCGUGUGCGACGUACUGUAGGGUUGUUUCACCCCCUCGCUGUCUUCUCCCCUCCGGCUGUGGCUGUGGAUGUAGAAUGGCAAGUGUCUGCCCUAGCCCAACAUAUGGCAAGAGCCCUCAGUGAUACCAGACAUGCAAUAACUCUACUAAAUGAAGAAACCUCUCAAAUGAGACAAGUAGUGUUACAAAAUAGAAUGGCCUUGGACAUGCUUACCGCAGCCCACGGAGGAAGCUGUGCCCUGAUUAAAGUAGAAUGCUGUGUGUAUAUCCCUGAUCAUGCCCACAGUGUUCCCUCUGUGAUGGCCUCCUUACGUGCUCACGUACAGGCUGUUGAGAACCUGUCCACCAACCCAGUAUCCACUUGGAUACAAUCCCUCCCCUCCACUUGGCAACAUGUUUUCUUUACUGUCCUUGCCUGUUUACUGCUGCUUUUAUUUUCAUGUUGUGCUGUCUAUUGCUGUCAUGGUCUCUGACUACAGUGCUCCUCUGUGUCUGGCUCAAGGGAAGCCACAGAAGACUGGAGCAAUGAGAUUGUAAAGGCCAUUCGGACAUGUGGGGGGUGGAGUGUAGGGGCACUAGCCAGGGUGCCCCUUUAAGACCAUGUGUCCUUGAGGGUCCUUGUCUGGGCUAUGUGCCAGCACCCACAAUGAUAACAGACCUGGGCUUGGCCAACCCAAUUGUGAGCGUGGGAGAGUUAGCACAAAGACCCUCGAGAUCUGAGGAAACACAGAGGCCCUGGGGGGUGGGAGGGCUCUGGUCCCUGGAAUGCAGGUCAUACAGGGAUGAUCCCCCUUGGCAAGCAUGCAGCCUUUGUUCCUCUGCCUACUUAAACAAGCAUCUCCUGGGGGGCAGUAGCGGUGC